AAUAGAUACCCUGGUAGUCCACGCCGUAAACGAUGAGUGCUAAGUGUUGGGGGGUUUCCGCCCCUCAGUGCUGCAGCUAACGCAUUAAGCACUCCGCCUGGGGAGUACGGUCGCAAGACUGAAACUCAAAGGAAUUGACGGGGGCCCGCACAAGCGGUGGAGCAUGUGGUUUAAUUCGAAGCAACGCGAAGAACCUUACCAGGUCUUGACAUCCCGGUGACCACUAUGGAGACAUAGUUUCCUCUUCGGGGGCAACGGUGACAGGUGGUGCAUGGUUGUCGUCAGCUCGUGUCGUGAGAUGUUGGGUUAAGUCCCGCAACGAGCGCAACCCUUAUUCUUAGUUGCCAUCAUUCAGUUGGGCACUCUAAGGAGACUGCCGGUGAUAAACCGGAGGAAGGUGGGGAUGACGUCAAAUCAUCAUGCCCCUUAUGACCUGGGCUACACACGUGCUACAAUGGACGGUACAAACGGUUGCCAACCCGCGAGGGGAGCUAAUCCGAUAAAACCGUUCUCAGUUCGGAUUGUAGGCUGCAACUCGCCUAC
rnacentral:rRNA from 1 species